UGGGAGAGAGGACUGUGAGGC
rnacentral:miRNA from 1 species